GGGGACGUAGGCUAAUGGCUAAACCAGCGGUCUCCAAAACCGCCUUUGUGGGUUCGAGUCCCGCCGUCCCUG
rfam:Candidatus Woesebacteria bacterium RBG_16_36_11 RBG_16_scaffold_86, whole genome shotgun sequence.